UACGAAGGGUGCAAGCGUUACUCGGAAUUACUGGGCGUAAAGGGUGCGUAGGUGGUUGUUUAAGUCUGCUGUGAAAGCCCCGGGCUCAACCUGGGAAUGGCAGUGGAUACUGGACAGCUAGAGAUCGGGAGAGGAGAGUGGAAUUCCCAGUGUAGAGGUGAAAUUCGUAGAUAUUGGGAAGAACACCGGUGGCGAAGGCGGCUCUCUGGACCGAUACUGACGCUGAGGCGCGAAAGCGUGGGGAGCAAACAGG
rnacentral:rRNA from 1 species